rnacentral:rRNA from 1 species
GACGGAGGGCGCGAGCGUUGUUCGGAAUUACUGGGCGUAAAGCGCGCGCAGGCGGGCGUGUAAGUCGGGGGUGAAAUUUCAGGGCUCAACCCUGGAACUGCUUUCGAUACUGCACGUCUAGGGACCGGUAGAGGUCGGUGGAAUUCCCGGUGUAGCGGUGGAAUGCGUAGAGAUCGGGAAGAACACCCGUGGCGAAGGCGGCCGACUGGGCCGGAUCCGACGCUGAGGCGCGAAAGCGUGGGGAG